GGCCAGCAGCACGUGGCCGCGGGGUUAUCAGUGCUGGCUGUGCACUGGCCGCAGUAGCUGCGGGUACCGAGACCUUGCUGAGUACACCGGUGGACGGCUCACCCCAGGCCAGUUACAGCCUCUGCUGUUGACAGACAGCCCUGCUACUGAUCCUCGUGGACUUUGAUACCGAAGUUUGCUGAUGCUCUUGUUGGCCCUCCAUACAAAUGGUUAUCUAAUUGCGCUGUUGGGUCUUUCCGGACUCAUCCCGCAAGGUCCGCGCUGCCGGGAUGGUGAGGCGAUGGCGUCCUUCGACAAGAAGCACCGGCAAGUUUCAGUGAACUUGUCCAUUUUUUAACAGUCAAGCACACCUUUUAAAGGGCAGGCAGAGGGGGCGUAGCUAAUUCAGGGCAACACUAAUUCUGUAGGGUAAAGCCAAUAUUGGUGCCGCCAAGCUGCUCCAAUCAGCUUGAAGGCCUGCGUAGCCUCCCAGGUGGUCCUGACAGGCCUCAGCCAUGCCUGGGAGCUGUUUACAGGACCCAUAAUUACAAGGCCCUUCAAGGGGUGGGAGGAGGGUAUGUGCCUGGGGCUCCUGCCACCUGCCAGCAGUCAGGCCAUCCCGGGAGGCCUGGUGUGCCACGCCCUCCUAACCUCCUGCAUGGGCUGGGCAGGCAGUCUCCCAGCCAGGCAUAGGGUCACCCCUUGGCUUGGGUAUUUUGGUAGUUUGCCAAUUUCUGUCACUGACAAAUGUGUGAAAAUACGUCUCUGAGCUCUCUGGUUGAGACGUGGGAAGACCUCACAAUGCUCUAGAAACAGCCCAUGGUCAGUCUGACCACAGCCGCCUGCACUGAGGUUUCUCUCCAACUCGCUUCACCGGUGCUAUGGAAUGGAUUUGUAAGUUGUGCUGUGGCUGACAGUGGAGAAAAGUAGGUAAAAUACUGAUUUAUAUAAUCGUCAUAGAAGCUUUUAAAAUUAAUCUUAAAUUGACAAAUAACUGGGCCGGCGCCAAGGCUCACUAGGCUAAUCCUCCGCCUAGCGGCGCCGGCACACCGGGUUCUAGUCCCGGUCGGGGCGCCAGAUUCUGUCCCGGUUGCCCCUCUUCCAGGUCAGCUCUCUGCUGUGGCCAGGGAGUGCAGUGGAGGAUGGCCCAGGUGCUUGGGCCCUGCACCCCAUGGGAGACCAGGAUAAGCACCUGGCUCCUGGCUCCUGCCAUCGGAUCAGCGCGGUGCGCCGGCCGCAGCGGCCAUUGGAGGGUGAACCAACGGCAAAGGAAGACCUUUCUCUCUGUCUCUCUCUCUCUCUCACUGUCCACUCUGCCUGUCAAAAAAAAAAAUUGACAAAUAACUGUAUAGGUUUAUAGCAUAGAGUGUAAUGUUACAAGGUGUGUAUAUGUUGUCAAAUAGUUAAAUAGGGAUAAUUAACAUAUCCAUCAUCUUAUAUCUUUGGGGUGAUGUAACCAGGCAGAAAAUCCAUGGUUUCUUGGGGCCGGCGCUGUGGUGUAGCGGGUAAAGCUGCUGCCUGCAAUGCCAGCGUCCCAUAUGUCUGCUGGUUCAAGUCCCAGCUGCUCUACUUCCGAUCCACCUCUCUGCUAUGGCCUGGGAAAGUAGUGGAAGAUGGCCCAAGUCCUUGGGCCCCCGCACUUGCAUGGGAGACCCAGAAGAUACUCCUGGCUUCAGAUCAACCCAGCUCUGGCCGUUGCAGCCAUUUGGAGAGUGAACCGGUGGAUGGAAGACUUUCUCUCUCUCUCUCUCUCUCUCUCUCUGGCUCUCCCUUUCAAAUAAUAAAUCU